rnacentral:rRNA from 1 species
GAUGAACGCUGGCGGCGUGCUUAACACAUGCAAGUCGAACGGAAAGGCUCCUGCUUGCUGGGGUACUCGAGUGGCGAACGGGUGAGUAACACGUGGGUGAUCUGCCCUGCACUUCGGGAUAAGCCUGGGAAACUGGGUCUAAUACCGGAUAGGACCACAUCUUGGAUGGUGUGGUGGAAAGUUUUUCGGGGUGGGAUGAGGUAGCGGCCUAUCAGCUUGUUGGUGGGGUAAUGGCCUACCAAGGCGUCGACGGGUAGCCGGCCUGAGAGGGGGUACGGCCACAUUGGGACUGAGAUACGGCCCAGACUCCUACGGGAGGCAGCAGGGGGGAAUAUUGCACAAUGGGCGCAAGCCUGAUGCAGCGACGCUGCGUGGGGGAUGACGGCCUUCGGGUUGUAAACUGCUUUCGCUAGGGACGAAGCGCAAGUGACGGUACCUGGAGAAGAAGCACCGGCUAACUACGUG